CUAGUAAUACAGUCUAUGGGCAGCUGAAGAGUCUGGCUCAUUUUCAAAUAAUGUUACCGUUAACUUUUUGAGCCAACGGUCACGGUAGCGAUUUUUUUUAACAUUAAUGUUAACGCCUUAAUGCGUUUUCAGAAGUUUCUCGGAGGGAAAAUGUAAAAGCGGGUUAUUAAAGAGAAGUCCUGACUGCUUUUUCACCGUGUUUUUCACUCUUUUACAGGCUUUCAGAAAUAAUCCGGUGAAAUGAUAUGGUGAGCUAUUGUUGCUGUUGCUUCUGAACUACAAAAUGAUUUUUACAUUUAUUAUUGAAUGAGACUGUACAUUAUAAAUGUAAUGCUUUAACUCUAGAUGUUUGUGUAAAUGCUGUGUGUGCAUUGAGUCCUGCGCGAGCGGGGAGCAGAGUUGCCAUGGAAACGGGGCAUCAACACAAAAACCGUUACUGGCAAGCAGUAAUCUCCGUCUCUCGCUGCAGUUUACACUGUUUUAGGAGGACAGAAAGAAACUCUACAGAACAGAAGUGAAGCUCCAAGAUUUCAACAUUUCUGAAGGGAGAUUCUGACUUAGAAAUACAGGUGACCCGAAGAAGCUCAUGAAAAACAUGAAUAUGCCUUUUUCAGAAUACAUUUCACCAAUUUUAAGAAGUCCCUGACAUCAUAACCUUGUUUCCUUCUAAUGAACCUGGAACUGCAGAGUAAAUAUUGUUGACUCUGUGUCAGAUUGCUUGUUUUGUUCCUGGAUUCUUCAGUGAUGACGAUCAGAGUCUGAGUGAACCUGCUGUCAGACAGGUUGGCCUGAUUGACGAUGUCAUCGUCCAUCGCCGAUGCCUGAUAGACAUCACGAUGCUGCGCCGGAAACAGCGUCAUCAGCUCCAGUAUCUCGCCCGUGCAUCUGUUGUCAUGCGACAGAGAAGUCACGUUCUAUAGACAGUUUCUAUAGACAGUUGUGAACGUGCUGACAGCUGGUUGCCCAGGCUAUGGAUUAAAGGUAAUACUGUUGGCCAGCAGAGCCCUGCUCACCCUGACGGCCCACUGCUGCUGUCAGACAACAUCUCAAAGAUGCUAUAAACUGCAGGACCAGAUGGCCAUCCCAAGGUUUCUAGAGGUUACAGCAGCUCCAGACUGAAUCCAAACUUACUUGUGAAGACUUCAGAUGACACCAACGCUCACAAAGACUACAGACGACAACUUUGCAUGAACACACAAAACAUUGGACACACAAAACAAUUAGUAUUGUUUGUCUGGUUUUAUUUUGUGUUUAUGUAACUCUUUUUAAAAAGUUCUUGGCAUAAAAUUUGCAUGCGAUGCUGACAGCACUGAACACAUGACUUUUUAUUAUGAACUAGAUGGUCUUCCCAGUGAGUCUCAGUCAUCUCUGGCUUUUUAAACUGUAACCUUGAAACAUGCAUUUCCUGUAAACCUACUUUGAAAUAAGUAUUGUCAAAAGGUGCUAUACUCAUCCAACAUUUAACCAUGCAAGGACUGUAGUAAUGGUUAUUUUUGUUUUUACUAUGGGUUUACUGCAAAAGCUGUAGUAAAAUCAUGGUGAUUGUAGUAAAACUAUGGCUGAUUUUGUUUUUUCUAUGGUUUUACUGCAAAUGCUGUAGUAAAAUCAUGGUUAAUGUUCAAAAGACUACAAAUAAUCCCGAAUUAUCCACUUUUGAUCAAAGCAUCUGGUAAAUGUUAUUGUAUUUGUACAUGUAAUAUGAAAUAAAUGAAAAUAUUAAUAAAGUUGCGUCUGUUCUUGA